rnacentral:lncRNA from 1 species
AUGUCAAAUCCCAGUAAGUGCAUAGUCGGGGAUUCAGUGACCUCUACCCCUUCAAGAAGCUUUUCUUACUCCACGUCACUUGAGGAGGCUCCCAUAUUUCAUGCCAAUGGACAACGUGGACUGCAGGCUGCCAGCACAGCACGCACAUACUGCUGGGCAGAAAGGAUUAAGGCUGCUACAGGCACACCUGCGGAUUUGCCGUCACCACAGAACUCUUCUAUUGGGUGCUGCCGACCACGAGCUGGAGGAUGGUCACUGCUGCCCACAGAACAGCAAGUCUCACAAUGUAAAGGAAAAGGAUGUUGCAGCAAGAGAGCAUGGGCAGUUGUACUCCCAAACAGGGAUCCAUGUGAGCAGGGCAGUAACCACCAUUCUGAGGGCUGGAAGUGAACUGAAGUAACUGGGAACGCUGCAUGAGCCUAAAACAGUAAACAGGCAAUGCUCUCCCUGGCCAAUCUUUCAACCCUUUCCUUAAUGGGAUAAAAAAGAAUACUGUCUCUACAGUGCCAAUUCUGCCUCUUCUCUCCCUAAUUCCUCAUCCAUCCUCCCACUGGGAUGGUCAGCCCCAGCAGACCUGUGCCAAGGAGCUGGCACUAGACUCAAGCUGUGCUGGCACCUUCAGAUGCUGAAGGUAAAAUAAGCAGGUCUGAAAAUAGGUCACCAACCUGCCAGGAAAGCACCACAACCAU